CGGCAACGGAUAUCUCGGCUCUCGCAUCGAUGAAGAACGUAGCGAAAUGCGAUACUUGGUGUGAAUUGCAGAAUCCCGUGAACCAUCGAGUCUUUGAACGCAAGUUGCGCCCGAAGCCUUCGGGCCGAGGGCACGCCUGCCUGGGCGUCACGCAUCGCGUCUC
rnacentral:rRNA from 1 species